AGCACGGGUGCUUGCACCUGGUGGCGAGUGGCGAACGGGUGAGUAAUGCGUCGGAACGUACCGAGUAAUGGGGGAUAACGCAGCGAAAGUUGUGCUAAUACCGCAUACGCCCUGAGGGGGAAAGUGGGGGACCGCAAGGCCUCACGUUAUUCGAGCGGCCGACGUCUGAUUAGCUAGUUGGUGGGGUAAAGGCCUACCAAGGCGACGAUCAGUAGCGGGUCUGAGAGGAUGAUCCGCCACACUGGGACUGAGACACGGCCCAGACUCCUACGGGAGGCAGCAGUGGGGAAUUUUGGACAAUGGGGGCAACCCUGAUCCAGCCAUUCCGCGUGAGUGAAGAAGGCCUUCGGGUUGUAAAGCUCUUUCAGCUGGAACGAAACGGUACGCGCUAACAUCGUGUGCUAAUGACGGUACCGGCAGAAGAAGCACCGGCUAACUACGUGCCAGCAGCCGCGGUAAUACGUAGGGUGCGAGCGUUAAUCGGAAUUACUGGGCGUAAAGCGUGCGCAGGCGGAUUGUUAAGCAAGACGUGAAAUCCCCGGGCUUAACCUGGGAAUGGCGUUUUGAACUGGCAGUCUAGAGUGCGUCAGAGGGGGGUGGAAUUCCACGUGUAGCAGUGAAAUGCGUAGAGAUGUGGAGGAACACCGAUGGCGAAGGCAGCCCCCUGGGAUGACACUGACGCUCAUGUACGAA
rnacentral:rRNA from 1 species